CCGCCGGUAGCGUAGUGGUUAUCGUAACAGACCGGUAAUCUGGAGGUCGUGGGUUCGGAUCCCACCCGGCGGG
rnacentral:tRNA from 1 species